rnacentral:misc_RNA from 1 species
CCGCUCUUGUACCGCCAGUGCGUCCGCGAAAGUGUACCACUACACCACUGUAAGUGCCGACGCAGCGCACAGCUCUUCUUUUUGUUUGUUUCUUUUUGUUGUUUGUUUCAUCCUCUCACACUGCAUUCACCAGCCCAGAUACCAUUAGACUGGGCAGCACCCGCCAACCUGUCACCUCUCGAACUCCGGUGGCGCUCUACAGCGCACACGGUGUGUCCGUCGCACCCCUAUAGAACGCCCUUUCGUUCCUACAUCCCGUUAGAACCCUCCUCUGUUUUUUCUUACUCUCUUUUAUGGCUCUUCCCUUCUUGUGCACGUCUCUUAUCCGCUCUCUCUGCCUGAAUUUUGCUUUCUCUUUUUCUCUCUCAGUCCUUUGUUUGACCUUCCCCCCUCCCUUCUCUUCCCUGAAUACACACAUACCGAUCUCUUCCCUCUCCCCUUUUCCACCCUUCAUGGGCACAUCCUCUUCUUCUCCCACCACAGUCUCUCUCUAACCUCCUCCUCACCCAACCCCAUAGCGUCCUGGGCCUCUUCCCCUCUCAUCCUCGCGCUUCGUCAUUUCUUCCUCUCCCCACCGUGUCGGUGUGUGUGCCUCGCUCCGCCGGCUCUUGUCCUCGUUGGUCGCUUCACUCUCACGACAAAGUAAUAUCUCUUCGCCGUCACGCCUGCGCCAUGUCCUCAGUGUCCCGUCAAGCGCGCCCAGCCAACGCCGCGACGUCGGAGAAGGCCACACCGUUCCUGUCAGCCAAACACCUCCCCGAGGCGAUGUCGCUCACCAACACUCCCGGUAAGAUGUGCAGUUCAGACGUUAGUGCCGCAGAAGACGCGGAGAGGCGCUCCUCUGCCUCGCGCAUCUCCCCUAUUUCGCCGUCACGCAUAUCCUCUGAAGCGUACACAUCGAGCCACCGCACCGGAAGUCGUCAGCGCAGCUCCUCGAGCGAGGCGCAGGCAGGCGUCACGCCUGGAGUGGUGCAUGGGAUAGACAGCAUGGGCACCGCGCGGUACGGGAAGGACCUUCCGGCCGAGCUCAGCACGUCAACGGCAAAGCUGAGAAUUCAGAAGCCUAGUGAACCGCUGGCGGUCAAGCUGCUCGCGCCUCCCCCUGCCCUCCCGGAAAGGCCCGCCCUGCCACCUCCACCACAUGCCUCCAAGGAACCGAAUACACAAUCGGCGCGCGCGUCGGGAGUCAAGUCCGACAGCGACGCGGCGGCAUCGGCCCUCUCGCCCUUCGAUCCCCUCCACAGGGACUUUGCCAAACCGCCGUCGGACCUUUUAUCUCUGCGGACACCAAGCACCCUCCCGCAAGAGAGCCAUACGCCUCCGAGGGGGCAAUCGCCUGCCACCCACUCGGCGCGGGCCGGCGCGCCGAAAGUGGCGCGGAAUCUCGGCCAGAGAGACCUGAGCUCUGUCGCGCGCUCGAACGCCCACCUUUCGGUGCUGGCUGAUCUCGUGGACAAGAAGAUGUUCUCUGAGGAGGAUGUGCUGCUUGAAUUGGAGGCCGUCCGAAAGCGCUCCCUCCUCACCUCGGCUCCCUUCAACAAGCGGCUGCUUCCAAUUCUCGCGUGGUACCUGCUCCGCGACAAGUUUGGCGACGAGGCGGCCACGCGGUAUGUGUCUCUCCUGACGUCCCCGGCCGGCACCACACCUCCCGACGGGGCGGUGAGCACAACGUCCACAAUAGCCUCUUUCCUGCCUCGUGUCAACGAGAUUCGGCGUGUGCGGCGGGAAAUAAAGGAGAGCAACCGCAAGAAACCCAAGCACCACUACGCUAUCAAUCCCCCAGCGUCUCCGACGGAAGCGGCGAAGCUGUCUGAUAUCGAAGGUGCGCAUGAUAAACGGCGACAGCUGCGGCGGACAGCAGCCUUCGACGCGCUCGAGGACGCCUCUGACAUCCCGACGACGGGUCUCCUUUCUCCGCAGUCCCGCCACACGCUCAGCAGCCCCUGCGUGCGCAACAGAUCUCCGCUGACGUACGGUCGGCUGCACGUGUACACCCGCGAGGACGCAGUCAUCGAUCGACGGGAUGCAAAGGCAGAGGACCGCCCCGUUGUGGAUGUUGUCGUGGAUGCCGCGAACCGCCAGGAUCGAGCGAAGAACGUGUUCGAGGUGGUCGAGGAGCAAGCAUCCUCAGUCGUGGAGGAGCCGUCCGUCUUCCAAGGCCCCGGGCGCAAACCACCAACAACAAAGGGCACCGCAAGCAAGUCGAUGUCGAAGGAGCGUGUCCCCGCUCCACCCGCCUCGGCUCACGCCGCUUGCGCUCUUGGAGAGGCAACGGCGCGCAGCCGUCACGGACUGCAGGUGCACGGAAGUGACGCCUGUGCGAUGCUUGACGUGACACCGAGCAUAGGUGUCUUCAGCGAGGUCAGCCCUGCCAAUGAGAGCGAGGAGGGCCUGAGCCUGUUCUACCGAGAGUUUGUCGGGGGCGCUGACCAAGAACGCACCCCCUCUGUCUCGGCGUUUUGGAAAGCCAUCACCUCAUCCGACACGCCGGCUGCAAGAACCGAACCCGGUCGGCGAUGCCUGCCCGCUAGGCAUCCGCAGCAUGGGCACGUUGACCGUAGUGGCGGCCCAGCGGACUAUGGCGCAAGCGCACAGCCGAGCGGGCUUGCUGGUGAGACAGUCGAUUCUUCAGACCUCUCAGCAGUCGCGGAUAAUACCAUAAGCGCUCGAAGCGUCGUAGAGUACUUGCACGGUGUGAGUGGCGACCACGAGUGGUACGACGGCGAAGCUACUGCAGUUCCCGAAGAGAACCCAGCAUCACAGACACUUGCAAGCACCGUCGCGUACUCCGCCCUGAAUGACCCUCACGAGUCUAGUGUCGGCGUUGGGGACACGGAAAACACUACGGGCGCUGUUUACUGUCUGGCGACAUCUUUCCUGCUGCGUGAUGGGUGCGCGGCGGAAGCCACCGAUACGUCCAAGCAGCAGCCGGAGCAGCGGCUGUACGCCGGCCUGAGUAGCGCGGAGAGCCCCACAAUUCACACAGUGAUGGCUACGGAGUACUACUCGACGCUGCCGAACGCCUCGACGACAACGCACAGGCCAGAGUGCUCCCAGCGAAGCCGCAGUGAGGCGUCGUGGGAAACCAGCAGCGCUACCAUGCCAAGUAUGACGGAGACCUUUCAGGAAGAAGGCGCUGCCGGGAGGAAGACUGGCUACGGCAGUCUCAUCAAGAGCCACAUAGACACGGCGGCGAUGAGCAACGCUGAUAGCAUCAAGGCCAGAGAGGGCACGGGCACCGGCUUGCAUACAGUUGCCGAGUACAGUGCGUUCACUGACUCAGGGGCGUUGGCGAUAGGGCCCUGUGAUGCCAGCGAUGUGCAGUCCCCGACCAUCAGCAAAAACGGAACGCUCCGUCGAGGCACGUCUGCCGCGACUGCAGCGCCCUUCAGCGUGCUGGAGGCAUCCUCAGACACGACGGAUCGCACCAGGCAGAGCGCGCAUCGCGUUCGCGGCACAGCCACUGUUUUAAAAAGCCCAUUGUUGGACAGCGGCGUUCACAGUUCGCGAAGCGAAGGGCGCAAGACACCCUUCAAUGACCUCCCGGCAACGGAGAGCCUCCACGAUGGCACGCCGGCGUACAGCAUGUGCGAUGGCUGCACCGGCACGCGUCUCUCUCCACCCUCGACGACAAUCGACGGGUCCUCGUACGCCCCAUCUGCUCCAAGCGGCGAAUCGGCCUUUGGAAGCCUCCUCCACACCAACGCUGAAACCUCAGCUAUGGGUGGUGGAAAUUAUCGGCAAGGGUUCCCGAUUGAACUGUUCGACUCCAUCGCCGUCAGCGACGCAUCCGCCAACACAUACAGCGCACUACAACGCGACAACAGUGCCAACGCAGGCCCUUGUUGUGCUUCUCGCAACACCUGUUGGGCUCAUGUUGUCGAGCACUCUGCGAAUGGCGGUGCACAGUUUGCCACUCCCCUUCACGAUUCCGCAUCGCGGCCUCCAGCCGCUGCCGCUACAGGCCCUCGCACUGUCUCGGCCCAUCACCGCCUCUCUUCUGGUAGAGCCACAGCCAGGCGCAGCCUAUCAGAUGCACUGGCAGCUCAUCUCGGAGACGCGUCCGUCCUACACAACCACAGAACAGAUGACGGCCACAGCACGCAAAGUGUGGAUGCCCCUGACACUCAGUCGCUGACCACCGUAACCUCAGCCACUUCACCCCCCUUAGACGCUGGAACCCACCACGACAGCGUGCGGUCGCGCGGUGGGUACGGCAGCAUGAUGGAGGCCGACAGCGCUGUGGCCCAAGACGCGGGCGCUGCGUCGCGUUCGAAUGGCGGGUACAGCCUUGGCGGGCGCAGCGAGACGAGCGUGCGGUCGCGCGGCGGGUACGGCAGCAUGAUGGAGGCCGACAGCGCUGUGGCCCAAGACGCGGGCGCUGCGUCGCGUUCGAAUGGCGGGUACAGCCUUGGCGGGCGCAGCGAGACGAGCGUGCGGUCGCGCGGCGGGUACGGCAGCAUGAUGGAGGCCGACAGCGCUGUGGCCCCAGACGCGGGCGCUGCGUCGCGUUCGAAUGGCGGGUACAGCCUUGGCGGGCGCAGCGAGACGAGCGUGCGGUCGCGCGGCGGGUACGGCAGCAUGAUGGAGGCCGACAGCGCUGUGGCCCCAGACGCGGGCGCUGCGUCGCGUUCGAAUGGCGGGUACAGCCUUGGCGGGCGCAGCGAGACGAGCGUGCAAUCGCGCGGCGGGUACGGCAGCAUGAUGGAGGCCGACAGCGCUGUGGCCCAAGACGCGGGCGCUGCGUCGCGUUCGAAUGGCGGGUACAGCCUUGGCGGGCGCAGCGAGACGAGCGUGCGGUCGCGCGGCGGGUACGGCAGCAUGAUGGAGGCCGACAGCGCUGUGGCCCCAGACGCGGGCGCUGCGUCGCGUUCGAAUGGCGGGUACAGCCUUGGCGGGCGCAGCGAGACGAGCGUGCGGUCGCGCGGCGGGUACGGCAGCAUGAUGGAGGCCGACAGCGCUGUGGCCCAAGACGCGGGCGCUGCGUCGCGUUCGAAUGGCGGGUACAGCCUUGGCGGGCGCAGCGAGACGAGCGUGCGGUCGCGCGGCGGGUACGGCAGCAUGAUGGAGGCCGACAGCGCUGUGGCCCAAGACGCGGGCGCUGCGUCGCGUUCGAAUGGCGGGUACAGCCUUGGCGGGCGCAGCGAGACGAGCGUGCGGUCGCGCGGCGGGUACGGCAGCAUGAUGGAGGCCGACAGCGCUGUGGCCCAAGACGCGGGCGCUGCGUCGCGUUCGAAUGGCGGGUACAGCCUUGGCGGGCGCAGCGAGACGAGCGUGCGGUCGCGCGGCGGGUACGGUAGCAUGAUGGAGGCCGACAGCGCUGUGGCCCAAGACGCGGGCGCUGCGUCGCGUUCGAAUGGCGGGUACAGCCUUGGCGGGCGCAGCGAGACGAGCGUGCGGUCGCGCGGCGGGUACGGCAGCAUGAUGGAGGCCGACAGCGCUGUGGCCCCAGACGCGGGCGCUGCGUCGCGUUCGAAUGGCGGGUACAGCCUUGGCGGGCGCAGCGAGACGAGCGUGCAAUCGCGCGGCGGGUACGGCAGCAUGAUGGAGGCCGACAGCGCUGUGGCCCAAGACGCGGGCGCUGCGUCGCGUUCGAAUGGCGGGUACAGCCUUGGCGGGCGCAGCGAGACGAGCGUGCAAUCGCGCGGCGGGUACGGCAGCAUGAUGGAGGCCGACAGCGCUGUGGCCCCAGACGCGAGCGCUGCGUCGCGUUCGAAUGGCGGGUACAGCCUUGGCGGGCGCAGCGAGACGAGCGUGCGGUCGCGCGGCGGGUACGGCAGCAUGAUGGAGGCCGACAGCGCUGUGGCCCAAGACGCGGGCGCUGCGUCGCGUUCGAAUGGCGGGUACAGCCUUGGCGGGCGCAGCGAGACGAGCGUGCGGUCGCGCGGCGGGUACGGCAGCAUGAUGGAGGCCGACAGCGCUGUGGCCCAAGACGCGGGCGCUGCGUCGCGUUCGAAUGGCGGGUACAGCCUUGCAGACGGUGGCUGUUGUAGCUAUCCAGCCGGUACUUCUGCGCUGAGUGCAAGCGAUAAGCGCGCGGUGAAGGCAGGCGAAAGCGGUGACUCGACGAUGAACUGUUCCAAUGAACAGGUUGGUGGCAGACUGGCGAAUCGUGGUUUUGCAGAUUGUGCGCCGGCUGGGUCGGAGAGCAUAUCCGUGGAAAGAAGGGUGUCCCGUGUGGAAUCUUCGAGAGACUGCGAUGCAUUCGCAAGCCACACGACUGCUCUUCUUGUGUCGGAAGUGGUAUGCAACGGAUGCGACAGUGGAUCACAACCCCGUAGCCCGACGUGCUCAGCGGUGAACCCUUCUCAGCUAACGGCAAGCACAAGAGAGGAAAUGGCGGCCUCAACGUGUACGGCCUUUUUAGGGUGCGGAAGAGAGGGUGCAACGAUGAGCUCUAUUAUGGACCCUGACGAGUUAGCAGAUGCCCUCCAGCGCCUCAGUGAACGACAUGUCUCCUGCUUGAAGGACAACAACGCAUGUACGUUUGGGGAGCUCGGAUGCCAGUGUGCCACGGGAAAGUGCCAGGUGUGCACCACCGAGGCCACUCGGCCACCACCUCGUCAGCCACAGCCAGUGCCCCCAUCAGACGAAGUGGCACGCGCUCAGCGGUUUGAUCGCUUUGCGAUGAGAAGCAGCUCAACGGAGAAAGCGCCAGGCUGCGGGUCGCCAGCCCCACCUCCUCCUGCGGCGGAACCUGCGGAGGAGAAGAGCUUGAAUACCGCCGUGCCGCUGCAGAGUCGCCAACGCAAGAGCCGCAUUUCUAGCGCGAGAGUAUCUUCACGAAGCAACGCGACGCUGGUGCGCGUCGGCGCCGGUUUCAACCUCCGCACUUCUCCAUCCCCGGCACGAUGCGUCGAAGAGGCGUCGACUCGGCAAGCCACCCAGCAGGUGAGUACCAUAUCAGAGCUUGACGCUGUCACCGCUUUCCCAGCCAAGUCAACGCCCCCAGGUCGUUGCACGGACAGCGAUGCGAGCCGUACUGGAUCGUUCUUGGAACGAGACGGGCUUAGGAGCCAAGUGACCAUCCUGACGUAUCCUCGCAGCAGCGCCGAUCUCUCCGUGCACAACAUGCCAGAUGCCGCCAGCGAACGUGCUGACGCCAGCAUCCAACAGCUUCGCGAGCAUCAACGCUCCGGCUUUGACUUCAGUGGCUACUGCCGCGCAGACUGCCUGUUGAUGACUCCCGUCUCCAUACUGCAGAGCUCGCCGGGGAACAGUCGCAUCCACGAUUCCAAGACAGUGGAAUUUUCGACACGACCACAGGCCGCUGCGACGGCGCCGUCUGGGGUAAGCAUUCCCACUGACCGGACAGUUUGCGGAGCGUUGACGGCUGGUGACAGCGCCGUGACGAGCUCUUUCGUUCCCCUUCCUCUGCCGCCUGAGGCAACUGUGGUGAACCCGACGGUCUGCGCACUCAGUGACGAGUUGCUGCGGAUGCCUCACGACAUGACCACGGUCCUUCUUGGUGGUGCCAGGCAAUUCGGUCUCUUUUCCACCAUGCAGGCAGCGCAUGAGGAGGCGUCAGGCGCGGACGACGCUGAGGAGGUGCACAAGGCGGAGUUCACUCGUGAGGUGCACACGAAGCACAGAAACCUCGGCACUCUUCUUUGCCACUCGCGCCUGGACGAGAGUGGCGUGGCGGACGUCCACUCCCACGUGCUGGAAUCUUCUGCUGCUGUCACCAAAACUGGAUUGGCGAACGCGGAUCGCUCGAGAAGUUUCGGCGUGUUGCUCAGGGAACAAACGGAGAUGGAUGCCGCCGGCGUCGACGAGGCGCGCGUGGACAGCAGCGACGAGUCGAGGGAAACUGCAACGCCUGCGGAUAGCGACGCGGAUGAGAACUGGAUCUCGUCGGAUCCCUCCACCACGCAGAACACCGAACUAGCAGUGAGCGUGCCAGGACGUCGUUUCGCUCACCGUCCUCCUAUGCACCCAUACAACUACGUCCGCGCCGAUCACGAUUCUCCAGAGCAGCGAGAGCAGCGGCAGCGACGCCGCACAAUCCUCGACGUCCCCGGCGUCCCGUACGUUGAUUCACCGGACAUCUCGACGCACAUCGACAAGAAGGAAGCACAGAAGGAAAAGGAUCGCCAGCUGUUUGCCAUGCGUUGGGCGGAGCGUGGAUUGAUGUGGCAGCAGCAAGAGAACGAAGCGCAACGGUAUGAGGAGUGCCAAGUCCACUUUGGUGCGGGAAAGGAACGGCCUAGAGGCCCUCGAGUGAUGAUCAUGAAACCAGGUCAACAGGGCGCAGUGGCCCUGCCAGGGCCUCGCCUGCCGAACGUCCCGAGGCCACCCAUGUCCAUGCAUCCGCGGUCCCCCGGCUACCCCCCGCGGCGGCGGCACAGGUAACGCUCUGCGUACAGGGCAGAUGAGUGAUUCCUCUUUUCUUGGACGGCGCCGUGGAUGAAGUCGUUUUAGAAGUUUUGUGUGUUGUGUGCUGCGUGUCUCUGCGCAGCAGAGUCUUAUCAGGCGUGCGCCCCUUCGUUUUUUUUUCUUCUGUCGAUUCCCUAGAUUCAGCGGAAGUAGGAGGACCGCAGGCGCCGACAGUAUUCCCUCGGUCCCUCCUGUGCGCGUGAAACGGCGUCUCCGUGAGUUGUGGGGCCCCCUCCCUUCAUCAUUAUCGCACAUCAGCUGCGAGUUGAGUGCCGUUAUGAGACCUUGACCUCCCUUUGGAUACAGGGCGACAGUGGCGACAUAUAGCAGCGACUGCCGUUCAUUUAUGUGCCUAUGUUGCAUGCCGUUUAUAUAUAUACAUUUCUGUCCUCGUCAACAUAGACGACAACAUCCCUUUUAUCCAGCCUAGCCGCUCCACCGUACUUCUCUGCUAGACUCACUUCUGUCUACCCCCCCCCUCUUCGCUCAUGUGUUCACUACGCUCCAG